UGCAGUCGAGCGGUAGCACAAGAGAGCUUGCUCUCGGGUGACGAGCGGCGGACGGGUGAGUAAUGUCUGGGAAACUGCCUGAUGGAGGGGGAUAACUACUGGAAACGGUAGCUAAUACCGCAUAACGUCGCAAGACCAAAGUGGGGGACCUUCGGGCCUCAUGCCAUCAGAUGUGCCCAGAUGGGAUUAGCUAGUAGGUGGGGUAACGGCUCACCUAGGCGACGAUCCCUAGCUGGUCUGAGAGGAUGACCAGCCACACUGGAACUGAGACACGGUCCAGACUCCUACGGGAGGCAGCAGUGGGGAAUAUUGCACAAUGGGCGCAAGCCUGAUGCAGCCAUGCCGCGUGUGUGAAGAAGGCCUUCGGGUUGUAAAGCACUUUCAGCGGGGAGGAAGGCGGUGAGGUUAAUAACCUUGUCGAUUGACGUUACCCGCAGAAGAAGCACCGGCUAACUCCGUGCCAGCAGCCGCGGUAAUACGGAGGGUGCAAGCGUUAAUCGGAAUUACUGGGCGUAAAGCGCACGCAGGCGGUCUGUCAAGUCGGAUGUGAAAUCCCCGGGCUCAACCUGGGAACUGCAUUCGAAACUGGCAGGCUAGAGUCUUGUAGAGGGGGGUAGAAUUCCAGGUGUAGCGGUGAAAUGCGUAGAGAUCUGGAGGAAUACCGGUGGCGAAGGCGGCCCCCUGGACAAAGACUGACGCUCAGGUGCGAAAGCGUGGGGAGCAAACAGGAUUAGAUACCCUGGUAGUCCACGCCGUAAACGAUGUCGAUUUGGAGGUUGUGCCCUUGAGGCGUGGCUUCCGGAGCUAACGCGUUAAAUCGACCGCCUGGGGAGUACGGCCGCAAGGUUAAAACUCAAAUGAAUUGACGGGGGCCCGCACAAGCGGUGGAGCAUGUGGUUUAAUUCGAUGCAACGCGAAGAACCUUACCUGGUCUUGACAUCCACAGAACUUUCCAGAGAUGGAUUGGUGCCUUCGGGAACUGUGAGACAGGUGCUGCAUGGCUGUCGUCAGCUCGUGUUGUGAAAUGUUGGGUUAAGUCCCGCAACGAGCGCAACCCUUAUCCUUUGUUGCCAGCGGUUCGGCCGGGAACUCAAAGGAGACUGCCAGUGAUAAACUGGAGGAAGGUGGGGAUGACGUCAAGUCAUCAUGGCCCUUACGACCAGGGCUACACACGUGCUACAAUGGCAUAUACAAAGAGAAGCGACCUCGCGAGAGCAAGCGGACCUCAUAAAGUAUGUCGUAGUCCGGAUUGGAGUCUGCAACUCGACUCCAUGAAGUCGGAAUCGCUAGUAAUCGUAGAUCAGAAUGCUACGGUGAAUACGUUCCCGGGCCUUGUACACACCGCCCGUCACACCAUGGGAGUGGGUUGCAAAAGAAGUAGGUAGCU
rnacentral:rRNA from 1 species